GUCUAUGGCUAUGCCACCCUGAACAUGCCUGAUCUUGUUGGAUCUGGGAUGCUAAGCAGGGUCAGGCCUGGUUAGUAUUUGGAUGGAAGACAGAAGUGAAAAAUCCUCAACUGUGUAAA
rnacentral:rRNA from 1 species